rnacentral:lncRNA from 1 species
UCUAAUAGGUUUUAAUCUGCAAUAUAUAUGGAACUAUAAUGCCUAAAGUUUUAUAAAGUCUUUAUCUGCAGUGGAUAUCCUGGGGGAAAAGACUGAGUUUGAAGAUUCAUAAUUAUGACAAAAUAAAUGAUAUAACAAGGUCAUUUUCAGCUCUGCUAAUAAUGUUUUGGAUUAAAUAAUCUCAAAAUUUGUUCUGCCAUUGUUUAAGAAAGCUGGAACUUAUAGAAAUAGAUCAAUUUGAAAAAACUUUAUUGAGUAGAGUAAUUAUAGGAACAUUAGUGUCACAUACAGCAAAAUUCUAUUUGGUCGAUAAGUUAAAAGGCAA